GACGAACGCUGGCGGCGUGCUUAACACAUGCAAGUCGAGCGGUAAGGCCCUUUCGGGGGUACACGAGCGGCGAACGGGUGAGUAACACGUGGGUGACCUGCCUUUAGCUCUGGGAUAAGCCUGGGUAACUGGGUCUAAUACCGGAUAUGACUCCAUGAUGCAUGUUGUGGGGUGGAAAGCCUUGUGCGGCUGGAGAUGGGCCCGCGGCCUAUCAGCUUGUUGGUGGGGUGANGGCCUACCAAGGCGACGACGGGUAGCCGGCCUGAGAGGGCGACCGGCCACACUGGGACUGAGACACGGCCCAGACUCCUACGGGAGGCAGCAGUGGGGAAUCUUGCGCAAUGGGCGAAAGCCUGACGCAGCGACGCCGCGUGAGGGAUGACGGCCUCGGUU
rnacentral:rRNA from 1 species